rnacentral:rRNA from 1 species
UGGGGAAUAUUGCACAAUGGGGGAAACCCUGAUGCAGCGACGCCGCGUGAAGGAAGAAGUAUUUCGGUAUGUAAACUUCUAUCAGCAGGGAAGAAAAUGACGGUACCUGACUAAGAAGCCCCGGCUAACUACGUGCCAGCAGCCGCGGUAAUACGUAGGGGGCAAGCGUUAUCCGGAUUUACUGGGUGUAAAGGGAGCGUAGACGGAGCUGCAAGUCUGAUGUGAAAGCCCGGGGCUCAACCCCGGGACUGCAUUGGAAACUGUAGAUCUAGAGUGCCGGAGAGGUAAGCGGAAUUCCUAGUGUAGCGGUGAAAUGCGUAGAUAUUAGGAGGAACACCAGUGGCGAAGGCGGCUUACUGGACGGUGACUGACGUUGAGGCUCGAAAGCGUGGGGAGCAAACA